GUGUCAGCCGCCGCGGUAAGACAGAGGGUGCAAACGUUGUUCGGAAUUACUGGGCGUAAAGCGCAUGUAGGCGGCCAAGCAGGUCGGAUGUGAAAUCCCUCGGCUCAACCAAGGAAGUGCAUUCGAAACCGCAUGGCUCGAGUCCCGGAGAGGAAGGUGGAAUUCUCGGUGUAGAGGUGAAAUUCGUAGAUAUCGAGAGGAACACCGGUGGCGAAAGCGGCCUUCUGGACGAGGACUGACGCUGAGAUGCGAAAGCGUGGGGAGCAAACAGGAUUAGAAACCCCCGUAGUCC
rnacentral:rRNA from 1 species